GAAAGGUUUGUUGUUCAGUCGUUGUUGGAGAACAAGGAGGAACAAUGAAGAUUUUUAUUCUUUUCAUUUUGCCGGCUGUUUUCGGAGCACGUGUUCCCCAAAAAAGACUUGUCUUUGACAG